rnacentral:rRNA from 1 species
AGAGUUUGAUCAUGGCUCAGAUUGAACGCUGGCGGCAGGCCUAACACAUGCAAGUCGAGCGGUAGCACAGGAGAGCUUGCUCUCCGGGUGACGAGCGGCGGACGGGUGAGUAAUGUCUGGGAAACUGCCUGAUGGAGGGGGAUAACUACUGGAAACGGUAGCUAAUACCGCAUAACGUCUUCGGACCAAAGUGGGGGACCUUCGGGCCUCACGCCAUCAGAUGUGCCCAGAUGGGAUUAGCUAGUAGGUGGGGUAAUGGCUCACCUAGGCGACGAUCCCUAGCUGGUCUGAGAGGAUGACCAGCCACACUGGAACUGAGACACGGUCCAGACUCCUACGGGAGGCAGCAGUGGGGAAUAUUGCACAAUGGGCGCAAGCCUGAUGCAGCCAUGCCGCGUGUGUGAAGAAGGCCUUCGGGUUGUAAAGCACUUUCAGCGAGGAGGAAGGGUUCAGUGUUAAUAGCACUGUNCAUUGACGUUACUCGCAGAAGAAGCACCGGCUAACUCCGUGCCAGCAGCCGCGGUAAUACGGAGGGUGCAAGCGUUAAUCGGAAUUACUGGGCGUAAAGCGCACGCAGGCGGUUUGUUAAGUCAGAUGUGAAAUCCCCGCGCUUAACGUGGGAACUGCAUUUGAAACUGGCAAGCUAGAGUCUUGUAGAGGGGGGUAGAAUUCCAGGUGUAGCGGUGAAAUGCGUAGAGAUCUGGAGGAAUACCGGUGGCGAAGGCGGCCCCCUGGACAAAGACUGACGCUCAGGUGCGAAAGCGUGGGGAGCAAACAGGAUUAGAUACCCUGGUAGUCCACGCUGUAAACGAUGUCGACUUGGAGGUUGUGCCCUUGAGGCGUGGCUUCCGGAGCUAACGCGUUAAGUCGACCGCCUGGGGAGUACGGCCGCAAGGUUAAAACUCAAAUGAAUUGACGGGGGCCCGCACAAGCGGUGGAGCAUGUGGUUUAAUUCGAUGCAACGCGAAGAACCUUACCUACUCUUGACAUCCAGAGAAUUCGCUAGAGAUAGCUUAGUGCCUUCGGGAACUCUGAGACAGGUGCUGCAUGGCUGUCGUCAGCUCGUGUUGUGAAAUGUUGGGUUAAGUCCCGCAACGAGCGCAACCCUUAUCCUUUGUUGCCAGCGCGUAAUGGCGGGAACUCAAAGGAGACUGCCGGUGAUAAACCGGAGGAAGGUGGGGAUGACGUCAAGUCAUCAUGGCCCUUACGAGUAGGGCUACACACGUGCUACAAUGGCGUAUACAAAGAGAAGCGAACUCGCGAGAGCCAGCGGACCUCAUAAAGUACGUCGUAGUCCGGAUCGGAGUCUGCAACUCGACUCCGUGAAGUCGGAAUCGCUAGUAAUCGUAGAUCAGAAUGCUACGGUGAAUACGUUCCCGGGCCUUGUACACACCGCCCGUCACACCAUGGGAGUGGGUUGCAAAAGAAGUAGGUAGCUUAACCUUCGGGAGGGCGCUUACCACUUUGUGAUUCAUGACUGGGGUGAAGUCGUAACAAGGUAACCGUAGGGGAACCUGCGGUUGGAUCACCU